rnacentral:lncRNA from 1 species
UAUUUUAAUUAUACUCUUUAAAAUUCCACAAGAUACUAUUUCACUGUUUUAUGUUAAGGUUUGUUUGGGUUUACCCAGAUAUUCACUGCUUUCUUUACCACCAUUUCUUCUUGCAUCUCCAACCUUCCGUCUGGAAUUAUUUGUGUUCUGCCUAAAAUACAGUCUUCAUGAUUGCUUCACUGAAUGUUAGUUGGUGGUCAAUUUUCUCACUUUUUGCCUAUCUAAAAAAGUCCUUUCUUCUCUCCUCACCUUGAGAGAUAUUUAAAUUAUAAGUUAUUUUUUAUAGCACUUUGAAGAUAUUAUUCCACUGUUUAUGUUCCUUUGUAGCUAUUGAGAAGUCAGCUGUUGGUGUAUUUGCCAUUUUUUUAUAAAUCACCUGUAUGUUUUUACUCUGUGCUUUUAUGAUCUUCUAUCUUUUGCAUUCUCCAAUUCAAUCAGGCUUUGCCUAGGUGUGUUUUUAUUUUUUAUUUUUAUUUAUUUAUUUAUUUAUUUAUUUUUGAGGUGGAGUUUCGCUCGUUACCCAGGCUGGAGUGCAAUGGCGUGAUCUCGGCUCACCGCAACCUCCGCCUCCUGGGUUCAGGCAAUUCUCCUGCCUCAGCCUCCUGAGUAGCUGGGAUUACAGGCACAUGCCACCAUGCCCAGCAGCUGCUCAAGAGGAACCCAAGACCAGCAUCGUGAUUCUAAAGUGAUGCCAUAAUGAGCCCUCUUGGGGCCCCUGGUGUUGCCAUCUUUCCACAUGCUCACUUCUGCUGGGAACCUGCACUCUCCAUCAACUCCUCCCUUCAACUCCUGCUGGAUCCAUUUCCAAAUCCCUAUCCACUGACUCUCAGAACCUCUCCUGAUUCAAGUCCUCUGUUCAUCUCCUGGACCUGCCUGACUGCCUUCUUCUCUGCAUGUGCCUGGGACAAGCACCAUCUCUGA